UCAAGUAGAAAAGGGCGCACGGUGAAUGCCUAGGCACUAACAGCCGAAGAAGGACGUGACGAACUACGAAAAGCUUCGGGGAGCGGUAAGUACGCAGUGAUCCGGAGAUAUCCGAAUGGGGGAACCCAAUGCAGAGAUGCAUUAUUGAUUAGUGAAUAGAUAGCUAAUCAAAGGAAGACGCAGUGAACUGAAACAUCUAAGUAGCUGCAGGAAGAGAAAGAAAGAUCGAUUUCCUUAGUAGCGGCGAGCGAAGAGGAAAGAGCCCAAACCAAGUGAUUUAUCAUUUGGGGUUGUAGGACUGCGACGUGGCAGUGUAAGAGAUAGUUGAGUUAUCUGGGAAGGUAAGCCAGAGAGGGUGAGAGCCCCGUAAGCGAAAUCUCAAGCACGCCUAGCAGAAUCCUGAGUAGGCCGGGACACGAGGAAUCCCGGUUGAAACCGCGAGGACCAUCUCGCAAGGCUAAAUACUAGUUAGUGACCGAUAGUGAACCAGUACCGUGAGGGAAAGGUGAAAAGAACCCCGGAAGGGGAGUGAAAAAGAACCUGAAACCGUGUGUCUACAAGUAGUCAAAGCACAUUAAAGUGCAAUGGCGUGCCUUUUGUAGAAUGAACCGGCGAGUUACGUUAUCUAGCGAGGUUAAGUCAGAAAAGACGGAGCCGGAGCGAAAGCGAGUCUUAAUAGGGCGAAAAGUUAGGUGACGUAGACCCGAAACCAAGUGACCUACCCAUGACCAGGCUGAAGGUGUGGUAAAACGCACUGGAGGGCCGAACCCACGUAAGUUAAAAAUUGCGGGGAUGAGUUGUGGGUAGCGGUGAAAUUCCAAACGAACUUGGAGAUAGCUGGUUCUCUCCGAAAUAGCUUUAGGGCUAGCCUCGUGGAGAGGAUAAUGGAGGUAGAGCUCUGUUUGGACUAGGGGCCCGUCAGGGGUUACUGAAUCCAGAUAAACUACGAAUUCCAGAUAUCCAUACACGGGAGUCAGACUGCGAGUGAUAAGAUCCGUAGUCGAAAGGGAAACAGCCCAGAUCACCAGUUAAGGUCCCGAAAUCUAUGCUAAGUGGAAAAGGAUGUGGAGUUGCGUAGACAACUAGGACGUUGGCUCAGAAGCAGCCAUCAUUCAAAGAGUGCGUAAUAGCUCACUAGUCGAGUGGCGCUGCGCCGAAAAUUUACCGGGGCUAAGCAUAGUACCGAAACUGUGGAUGUGUUUUAAAGAGCACGUGGUAGGAGAGCGUUCUAAGAGCGGAGAAGUUGAAUCGAGAGGAUCAAUGGAGCGCUUAGAAGUGAGAAUGCCGGUAUGAGUAGCGAAAGAUAGGUGAGAAUCCUAUCCGCCGAAAGACUAAGGUUUCCUGGGGCAGGCUCGUCCGCCCAGGGUAAGUCGGGACCUAAGGCAAGGCCGAGAGGCGUAGUCGAUGGAUAACAGGUAGAGAUUCCUGUACUGUGUCAAAUCGUUAAGAGCGAAGGAGGGACGCAGGAGGUGAAGCACGCAUCGCGAUGGAACGAUGUUCAAGCAACAAGUGCGGUUAAGAGUCAAAUGCUUCUAACCAGCAACACGAGUUGUGAAGAGGAGUGAAUUAAAAGUAGCGAAGGUGUGGUAAUCACACUGCCAAGAAAAGCUUCUAGCCAGAGAUGACAUACCCGUACCGCAAACCGACACAGGUAGUCGAGUGGAGAACACUAAGGUGAGCGAGAGAACUCUCGUUAAGGAACUCGGCAAAAUGACCCCGUAACUUCGGAAGAAGGGGUGCUAGCCAAGAGAUUGGUUAGCCGCAGUGAAUAGGCCCAAACAACUGUUUAUCAAAAACACAGGUCUCUGCAAAAUCGUAAGAUGACGUAUAGAGGCUGACACCUGCCCGGUGCUGGAAGGUUAAGAGGAGAGCUUAGCGUAAGCGAAGGUUUGAAUUGAAGCCCCAGUAAACGGCGGCCGUAACUAUAACGGUCCUAAGGUAGCGAAAUUCCUUGUCGGGUAAGUUCCGACCUGCACGAAAGGUGUAAUGAUUUGGGCACUGUCUCAACGAGAGACUCGGGUGAAAUUAAUACCCGUGAAGAUGCGGGUUACCCGCGACAGGACGGAAAGACCCCAUGGAGCUUACUGUAGCUUGAUAUUGGAGUAUCUUUUUAAACAUGUACAGGAUAGGGUAGGAGCCAGAGAAGAUAGGACGCUAGUCUUAUUGGAGGCAAUGUUGGGAUACUACCCUUGUUUGAAGGAUGCUCUAACCUCGACCUGUAAGCCAGGCCAGGGACAGUGUCAGGUGGGCAGUUUGACUGGGGCGGUCGCCUCCUAAAGUGUAACGGAGGCGCUCAAA
rnacentral:rRNA from 1 species